rnacentral:rRNA from 1 species
GACGAACGCUGGCCGCGUGCUUAACACAUGCAAGUCGAACGGCAAGGCCCUGCUUUUGUGGUGUGCUCGAGUGGCGAACGGGUGCGUAACACGUGUGUAACCUGCCCUUGACUUUGGUGUAGCUUCAGGUAACUGGGGCUAAUAUCGGAUAGGAGCCCCUGCUGCAUUGUGGGGGUUGGAAAUUUUCGGCGGUUGGGGAUGGAUUCGCGGCUUAUGGGCUUGUUGGUGGGGUAGUGGCUUACCCAGGCUGUGACGGGUAGCCGGCCUGAGAGGGUGGCCGGCCACAAUGGGACUGAGAGACGGACCAGACUCCUACGGGAGGCAGCAGUGGGGAAUAUUGCACAGUGGGCGGACGCCUGAUGCAGCAACGCCGCGUGCGGGAUGACGGCCUUCGGGUUGUAAACCGCUUUCGCCUGUGACGAAGCGUGAGUGACGGUAAUGGGUAAAGAAGCACCGGCUAACUACGUG